rnacentral:rRNA from 1 species
UACAGAGGGGGCAAGCGUUGUUCGGAAUUACUGGGCGUAAAGGGCGCGUAGGCGGCCCGCUAAGUCGAACGUGAAAUCCCCGAGCUCAACUCGGGAACUGCGUCCGAUACUGGUGGGCUUGAAUCCGGGAGAGGGAUGCGGAAUUCCAGGUGUAGCGGUGAAAUGCGUAGAUAUCUGGAGGAACACCGAUGGCGAAGGCAGGUCUCUGGGCCGAUACUGACGCUGAGGAGCGAAAGCGUGGGGAGCGAACAGG